UGAACUUCAGCGUUUUUCCAAAGGGCUAUGCAGAAAAGUGCAUUGAUGUGGAACAACAAGGGAUGGGAGUCUCACUAUGUUGUCCAGGCUGAUCUUGAACUGCUGGGCUCAAGCUAACCUCUCACCUCAGCCUCACAAAGCACUGGGAUUAUAGCCGUGAGCCAUCACACCUGACAGUUCUACCUUUAUUAAUAAAUCUGCUGGAAAUGGAGUUUCUUUAUGACAAACUAUGCACCAGGCAGGAAUAAAGGCAUUCAGUUUCUGGACAACAUCAAAU
rnacentral:lncRNA from 1 species